CAGCCCGUCGCAUAGGAAAGCAUUUACAAUGCUUUCCUAUGGACGCUUGCGUGCUCUCACUGUGAAAAUCACAGUGAGAAGCACGCAAGCGCCUCUAGUGGCUGUCAAUGAGACAGCCACUAGAGGAAACAGGGGGAAGGCUUAACCCAUUCAUAAACAUAGCAGUUUCUCUGAAACUGCUAUGUUUAUGAAAGAAUGGGUUAACCCUAGCUGGAC